rnacentral:lncRNA from 1 species
ACACACUCUAUCCCUAAACGACGCUCUCGGUCCUUCACGCUCGAGCCUCUGACUAUCACUGCUCUCUCGUCUCUCGACUUCCCCAAGGUAAACUUUAGGAUUCGAGUUGGGUACCUUACCCAUCCCUGCUACAUUACGAAGAUCGG